rnacentral:rRNA from 1 species
GAUGAACGCUGGCGGCGUGCCUAAUACAUGCAAGUCGAGCGAACAGACGAGGAGCUUGCUCCUCUGACGUUAGCGGCGGACGGGUGAGUAACACGUGGAUAACCUACUUAUAAUACUGGGAUAACUUCGGGAAACCGGAGCUACUACCGGAUAAUAUAUUGAACCGCAUGGUUCAAUAGUGAAAGACGGUUUUGCUGUCACUUAUAGAUGGAUCCGCGCCGCAUUAGCUAGUUGGUAAGGUAACGGCUUACCAAGGCAACGAUGCGUAGCCGACCUGAGAGGGUGAUCGGCCACACUGGAACUGAGACACGGUCCAGACUCCUACGGGAGGCAGCAGUAGGGAAUCUUCGGCAAUGGGCGAAAGCUUGACGGAGCAACGCCGCGUGAGUGAUGAAGGUCUUCGGAUCGUAAAACUCUGUUAUUAGGGAAGAACAAAUGUGUAAGUAACUAUGCACGUCUUGACGGUACCUAAUCAGAAAGCCACGGCUAACUACGUG